CCUACGGGGUGCAGCAGUGAGGAAUAUUGGUCAAUGGACGAGAGUCUGAACCAGCCAAGUAGCGUGAAGGAUGACUGCCCUAUGGGUUGUAAACUUCUUUUAUAUGGGAAUAAAAUGUUCCACGUGUGGGAUUUUGUAUGUACCAUAUGAAUAAGGAUCGGCUAACUCCGUGCCAGCAGCCGCGGUAAUACGGAGGAUCCGAGCGUUAUCCGGAUUUAUUGGGUUUAAAGGGUGCGUAGGUGGAUUGUUAAGUCAGUUGUGAAAGUUUGCGGCUCAACCGUAAAAUUGCAGUUGAAACUGGCAGUCUUGAGUACAGUAGAGGUGGGCGGAAUUCGUGGUGUAGCGGUGAAAUGCUUAGAUAUCACGAAGAACUCCGAUUGCGAAGGCAGUUCACUGGACUGCAACUGACACUGAGGCUCGAAAGUGUGGGUAUCAAACAGGAUUAGAUACCCUGGUAGUC
rnacentral:rRNA from 1 species